UGGAGACUUUGAAGUGGGAAGCAGUAAGUGCCCCCUGUGCUGGGCUGUGUGCAAGGGGGGGAGGCAGCCCCUGAGGAUCAGCGCUGUGCCUUGGCUUGUGAGGAUGAGAGAAAAGACGGAAUUAAUGAGAUGGGCUCGGAUCUCCAAAGGCAAUGAAGUAAUCAGCAGCUCAGAGUCAAAAUAUCUGGAGACAUGUCAGAUGCCUUCCUUACCUCUGGUGACUGUAAAUGAAGUGCAACACAUGAAUGUAUUCCCCCCAAGAAAUGCAAUAAACUAUUUUGCUGUCAAGUGCAUUAAGAUUUCAACAUACAGUGAAAUCAUUCUUCUGCUGCUUUCCAGAAGCCUGCAGAACUUCUGGCACAUACUGUGGCAAAAUCUGGAAGAAGAUACUAGGUAGGAC
rnacentral:lncRNA from 1 species